GAUGAACGCUAGCUACAGGCUUAACACAUGCAAGUCGAGGGGUAGCAGGGUAGCAAUACCGCUGACGACCGGCGCACGGGUGAGUAACACGUAUCCAACCUUCCCAUAACUCGGGGAUAGCCUUUCGAAAGAAAGAUUAAUACCCGAUAGUACUUAACAAAGGCAUCUUUUUAAGUUAAAGAUUUAUUGGUUAUGGAUGGGGAUGCGUUCCAUUAGAUAGUUGGUGAGGUAACGGCUCACCAAGUCUUCGAUGGAUAGGGGUUCUGAGAGGAAGGUCCCCCACAUUGGUACUGAGACACGGACCAAACUCCUACGGGAGGCAGCAGUGAGGAAUAUUGGUCAAUGGGCGAGAGCCUGAACCAGCCAAGUAGCGUGAAGGAUGAAGGUCCUAUGGAUUGUAAACUUCUUUUAUAGUAGAAUAAAGUGAUCCACGUGUGGAUUUUUGUAUGUAUACUAUGAAUAAGGAUCGGCUAACUCCGUG
rnacentral:rRNA from 1 species